rnacentral:lncRNA from 1 species
CUGCACUCGGUAAGGCCCUACGGCGACAUCUUCGCCGUGGACAUCGACGACAUCCUCCGGCUCGGGGACGACGCGGAGAAGCUCAAGAAGAUCAAGGACCUGAGGAGGAAGUUUCACCGGAUCACGCACAGCCGCUACGAGUACUCCACGCCGGAGUGGACCAUGUUCGCCACGGACGACCCCAACGCGCAGUGGAACGUGCUCGUCAAGAAGGACGCCGCGUACACGCCGGCCUGCCCCUACGCGUACCCGGACGGCGGCGAGAGCUGGCACAUGACCGGACACCUCUGCAUCCCAAAGAGGUGCUGCUAGCGCCGCCUCCGAUCAUCUGCAUGUCCAUGAAUCCAUCCAUGGUCGCCCGUCUCGUCUCUGCUAAUUAAUUAAAUAAGCGCGUGCCUAGAAGAUCGAUAGAAUCUUCUAUUUCAUCUUCGUCGUGGAUGUCGCGUGGUUGCUUUUCAGCUCCAUCGAUUUGAUCCGCAUUUCAUAAGGUUUCCUCAAUCCUCUGUUUUUAAGCUGUUGGUCCGAUUUUAUUAAUGAAAUAAACAGAGUACACUCUGUUGGACAAACUUAAGAAGACAAGACAUAAAAACCACUUGUAUUACUCUCUUCGAUAAAUGUUACUUGUCCCAGAUUUAUCUAGAUACAUACACGUGUACUUACACAAUGAAAUGUGUCUAGAUACACUGCAACAAGUAAUAUGGAUCAUAGUAAGUAUUUUUUUUAGUGAAAGAACUUUUUUUUAGAAUUUUUAGCGAAAGAACCAUGUACUUCCUCCGUCUAAAAAAAUACGUCUCAAUUUUGACUAAAUUUGAAUGCAUAUACUACCAUCCCGACGUGUAUGUUACCCGUUGAGAGAUAAAGAUAAGCGUCAUGCAUGGCCAAUGGCUGAACGUUUAACCUCUAAAUCUCAGGAGCUGUUCAGUUUCAGUACGCAUAGCUUGACGUACGUGAUUUGAACUGCCCGGUCAAUCCGUGAAUAUCUAUACGCUGCCACCGUCUGUUAAACAAACUUUAUGCAUGUAGUUGCUGAUCUGUAGACCCAUGCAUGCAUGGCCGGUCUGUAUUGUAGCCAAAAUCAUUAUCUUGGUAAUUAAAGGAAAUGACCACGCUCGUACUUGCGUUACGAGGCAUCUGCAGGCUCAUCUAUUUGUUGACUACUGCUAUUGCCUUCUAACUAGAACAAUGUAGUGCUAUGAUUCUUGAAAGAGCGUCCCGUGCUUCAUUAAGGUCAAUAUCGGUUUUUAUUUCUAUCGUUUUGUCAAAAUAUUGUGACAAAUAUCCAUCGAACAGUGGCAAAGAAAGGGUCGGGAUUGGAUCGGGACUCUGGAUACGCGCUGGAUCUAGGCCCUAAUUUACCAGUCCCUAAUUAACGUCAUUGCUUUGGGAUUUGUGCACUUUUUUUUCUCGAAAGCACCGAAGCACUCGCGGUGUCUAAAUUAUAUGUCUUGUCUUUUUAAGUUAAUUUGUUCAAUAAGAUAUACUUUGUUUUAUUUCGUUAAUAUAAAAUCGUAACAAUAGCUUAAGAAACACGGGACUGAGGAACCUUAUGAAACGCGGAUCAAAUCGAUGGAGCUGAAAAGCAACCACGCGCACAUCCACGACGACGAUGAAACGGAAGAUUUCACCGAUCUUCUAGGCGCGCGCUCAUUUAACUAAAAUUAAUUACUCCAGCACGGAUUGAUGGACAUGAAGAUGAGGGGGCACUAACAGCACCUCUUCGGGAUGCAGAGGUGCCCGGUCAUGUGCCAGCUCUCGCCGCCGUCCGGGUAAGCGUAGGGGCACGUCGGCCUGUAGGCGGUGUCCUUCUUGACGAGCACGUUCCACUGCGCGUUGGGGUCGUCCGUGGAGAACAUGGUCCACUCCGGCGUGGAGUACUCGUAGCGGCUGUGUGUGAUGCGGUGGAACUUCUUCUUCAGGUCCUUGAUCUUCUUGAGCUUCUCCACGUCGUCGCCGAGCCGGAGGAUGUCGUCGAUGUCGACGGCGAAGAUGUCACCGUAGGGCCGCACCGAGUGCAGGAAGAGCGGCAGCGAGAUGGGGUCGGCCGACACGGCGGCCAGGUCGGCCGUGACGGCGAUGGUCCGGCCGUCCGGGCUGAACACAGGGUGGUUCACGUGCCCGCUCAGGUCGUCGCCACUCCCCACCACCCGGAUCACCACCGUCGGGUCGCUCGCCUUCACCAUGAACACGGCGAAGUAUCCCGGGUCCAGCCCGUGGUCCGUCGGCGCCGCCGUGGCUGGCUUGUCACGUGUGGACGAGAACACGAUCCAGUCUCCGCUGGGCGACCACUGGCAGUGCGUGUCCGUCCAUUCCCCGUCGGUCAGCCGCGUCACCUUGGGGACCACGGUGUCGUACCCGUACUCGCCGAACUCCUGGUCCUCCAUGAUGUACAGGUUCUUGUGCUUCUUCUCGCUCUUGGCGUGGUCCCUCGUCGACCGGAACACGAAGCGGGUUCCGUCGGGGCUGCUGGACGGGAACGCGUUGUUGAAUUUGCCCUUGGUGAGCUGCCGGCUAUGCCCGUCGCCGCUGGAGACGUUGGGGAUGGCGUGGAUCUCCAGCGGCUUGCCGGCGUUGAAGGAAGGGCCCUUGCAGACGUAGAGGACGUCCUUGUCGGGGUUCUGGUUCCACAUCGUGGAGAAGAUGCUGUCGGGUCCCUUGGUCACGUGCACGAUGCGCAGGCCUUGGGAGUCGGCCACCCACACGGCCUUGAACUCGUUGUCCACGAACGCCAGCUUGGAGCCGUCCUUGGAGAUGGUCGGGAACACGCCGGACACGCGGAAGAGGCCCACGUCUUUCAAUGGAGACUCCAGCUUGUGAAAGUUCCGGGGCACGUCGUCGCCGGGCUUCAGGAGGUCGCUCCUCACGCGGUGGUACCCGACGCGGGCGCCGCCGUCAAGCACGAAGGGGUUGUAGUGGUCGCCCUUGGGCCUCGUCUUCUGCGUGAUCUGCUGCACGGGCGCCCCGGCGGCGACGUCGAAGAUCUCGAUGUGCCGAUACUGCGCCUCCACGCGGACGUCGCUGAACUUUGAUUUCUGCCGGAUGGUGGCCACGGCCACCUUGGUCUCGCUGAUGGCCGCAGGAGUAAACGCGUCGAGCCCCUCCGGCGUGACCCGGACGGUCUCCCCCGUGGCGACGUCGAGACGGAACACGGCCCACGACGUCUCGAUCAUGCCCGAGGGGAGCGUCUUGUCGGACCCGCGGUGGAAGAAGACGAAGUUCUCGCUGCCCCACGACGGCCAGCCGCCGUCCUUCACCAGCAGCUUGCGCCCCAGCGGCGGCUUCUCCACGUUCAUCACGAAGAUGUCCGUCUUGAGGUUCUCGAUCUCGCCCUGCCACCCCUCCGCCCGGAAAGACGCCACGGCCACCUUCUUCCCCGACGGCGACACGGCCGGGCUCAGGUCGUAGGCGCCUUUCGGGGUCAGGCGCUCUGUUUUGCCGGUCCUGAGGUUGGUCUUGUACACCACGGUCCACGGGGAGCGGCGGUCCUUCACGGGCUCCUUGGUGGACACGUAGAUGAGCGAAUGGUCCACGGUGCGGGACCCGACCUUGUACCCGCCGCCGAAGCAGCCGCUGUCCUCCAGCCGCGUGCCGCUGAAGUCGCCGGAGCCGAAGACGUCGGCCAGGGAGAACACCUUGGUUUUGUUAUCCUUGUCGAAGCGCAGGGCGAUGCGGAGCGUCUCGAGGCCGCCGUCUCUUUCGGAGACGAAGACGAGCCCGGACACGCGGCCGGCGUCCACGUCCGCCUCCGUGGCGCCGCCGUCGGCCGCCAGCUUGGGGCGCCUCAGGAGGGCCUUGAGCGCGGACGCCGGGAUGGGGCGGCAGUCGUAGUUGUAGGAGACGCCGUCGGUGAGGUGGACCUCGUCGCGGGAAGAGGACGGCGGGACGGGGCUGGAGAAGAUGUCCAGCGGCACCGGCGGCCGGUAUGUCGCGAAGAAGGCGAUGUUGCCGCGGCUCUCCCCUGCCAUUAUUAGUCUCGAUUGAUCGACCACUCCUAAUUAGCUGCAACUGAGUUCAGAUUACUACUACGUACUUGUGCUGUUGUGCAAGGGCUGCUAGCUAGCUCUUGUCCUGUGGAUGAAAAUCAGCACAGAAAGAUGACAGAUUUAUAGUGUGUCUACCCAAGUACUACGUGCUCCCCUCCGCCCCCCUAAUCCACAAUUAAUCUCCGAGAACUGGAGUAAUUGAUUGGGUAGUUGAUUCGUCCCGGUCUUGUUUCAAGUGUUCUAGUAGAAUCAGUUUUUUUUUCUUAAUCCUGCGGAAUUUUGGCAAUUUAAACUCCAAAUAAAGAAAUUUUCAUGUAAGUUCAAUAGAGCUUGAGUUUAAAACCUCAGAAGUAGGUUUUCCGAGUUGUACAGCUUGAAGACUUUUUUAGACAAACAAAAUUUAUGUCGCGUGUCUAAAGUCUGGAGAAGCACAGACGUGAGAUAUGUGCCAUCAACACCAAGCACACAUCUCAUUUGCAACACUAGACAUGAGAGGUGGUUAGUGUUAAACUGAGAGGGCCCAACUUGAGAUGAUGGAGUUGGCACAGUUAGCCCAGUAAUCUCCCUCAUUUUUCGUCAUCUGCAACUGAGGGUGUGCCGAAACAUAGAUGCCUCUGUACAUUUCUGCAAAACAAUUGUAGCAGAAUACCGCAUGAGUAAAUCGUUUGAAAAACAAAACAAAGUAAUUCAAUGAAAUUUCAGGGCACGCUGAAAGUGGCAACAUUUAUCCCAGUUUCCCACCGAUCAUUACUAGCCGAAAUGGCCUCGGUGUAUUUCUAGCCUGGGUGCAUUUUUUUUUCAAAAAGAGGGAAACCUCCCAGCCUCUGCAUCAAUCAAUGCACACAACCAUCAUAUUAUUAAAGUUCAGCACAAUAACAUCAUCCAAAGUUACAUCUCAAAAAGAAAACAAGAGACCAAGGAAUCAACCAGCCUCAAGUCUAAACCAUGCGCGCCACCCAAAUUGGCUAUAAAAUUUCUGUGCUACCAUCUCCUCAUGGCUGCACCCAAAUUCCAUAGACUUCCUGACCACCAUCGGAAGCAGUAGGGAACAGGUACGGAGCCAGUGUGUUGUCCCAAAAAUAACCUGUAAGAAAUUGAAAACAUUUUUUUGUUAAACACCAAAUCAUUAUGACAAUUUCAAAUGGACCAACAAAUCGCACAAGAACCAACAAAUAUAAGCGAUUUAAGAGAUUUUUCCAUUUCAUUAAGCCAGCGUUCAAACAUGUUCGCGAUACAAGAGGGUGCAUAUUGAUUCAACGACUUCCACAAAUUGUAGUUUUUGUAGUGACUCACCUAUUUUUGUUAAGCUUGUGUUCUAUAAAACAUUCAUCUCACGGAGAGAUGGCUGUGCAGCUGGGGGUUUUCCCGCCGGGAUUUUAAUAUCAGGUAAAAAGUGAUGCCUCACGUUGAAAUAGAGUAGUUUUUAAUUAUCCUCGAUAUAUCAAAGAGUUAAUUAGUUCGUACGAGGUAGCUGCCACAUACCACAUGGACCAAGUAACCAUGCUACUACAUACUAAGAGCAUUUUCAACGAGAGGUACUACACGGGUACCAAGAAAAAAAUGGCCAAUGGGCCGGGAGGAGAGAUGAAAACCACAUCUAAAUAGUGGUUACUUGAAAAAGUAACAGGUACUACACGGAUACCAAGACAGAAAAGAAGAUGACAUGUGAGACCAUCAAGAAAAAGAUAUGAAUAAAAAAACAUAUUAAAAAAGGAAGAGAAUUUUUUUAAUAUCAACCACCAUUGGAGAUGCCCUAACAACCAAUGAACCAUUUGCACGGCCUCCAAGUUUGGUAAAACCUUAUUCAUCCUUGAACUUAAUUAUGCUCCAUCCGUUCCACGAUAUAAAUCAAGCAUAUAAGCUUUAGUUAAGAUAAGAAUUUGACAAAAAAAAUUUACCCUAUUACUAUGUUCUUUGUAAGAUAUGAAACCACAACUAUAUGGGUAAGUACUUUUGAUAACCAAUCUAAAGAUACCAAUUUCGUGUCAUGUAAACCAUAUAUUAUCAAGCAUUAACUCACUACGCUAGAAUACCCCUUCGGAGAAAUCCCUUCAGUGGCGGUUCAGUCAGGCAGAAGACAUCACCGCCACUGGAGGCCGUCCAAGGGCAUCCCCGCGCACCACCAGUGGCGGUCCUUCUCAUUUCAAAAGCGUGUCCGCCACUGGUGCUCGACCGCCAGUGGUGGUCCCUUCUAGCCGCCAGCAGUGUUGUUCGGGGAUUCCCCCAACAGCUACCAGUGGUAGUUCGUCCUGAAAACAGCCACUAGUAGCUUCUCUCCGUAUCGAGAAGAGUGAGAGGGCUCAGCUAGUUGAACUCGCGUGUAUCUAAGACCAGCUGCGACUCUCCCUCACCACUGGCAAACAGGUAGUGAGCUUAAUUCUCUCUUUCUCUGCCUCUAUCUUCUUCCUCUUUUUCCUUCUUCUUCAAUUUUUGGCCAUGGCGCAAGGCAGCCGAAGGCGGCAAGAGCGCCCAUUGAUCUCUCUCCCCUCGCUCUUCCGGCCGCCCGCCUCUCUCUCGGGAGCUCCCCCGUCCCCCUCUCUCACCACCGAUGCUCUCCCCUCCCCCCUCCCCCCUACUCCCCCCCCCCCCUCACUGAUCCCCCUCUCUCACCAUUGGCGGGUAAUUGAACCGCCACUUGUACCCUCCCACCACCAGUGGCGGUCCUGAAACCCGACACUGGAGGUCAAACUCACUACUGGCGCCGAGUUAGUGACGGGUCAGCCCCCCGCCACUAACCCCAUUUUUGAACCGCCACUGGUGGAGUUUUUUUGGUAGUGACUAUUGGUCAAAGAACUGGGUUAACAAAAACUUAUAUGCUUUAUAUUAUUAUAGGAUGGACGAACAAUUUAUUAAUCAGCGACACGGGCAUGCUUAAUUAUGCAAACCAUGUUGGGUGUCACCCGGGAAGCUUCAAUGGACCGGCGGCGCCUAUUUUUAUGAGUACUGCUAUCUUUUUAAAGCAAAUGAGGUGUAUAUAUAAUACACAAAAUUUACAAAAACCCGCGGGAUCGAGUAGAGCUUCUUUGGAGAACUCGCCAUCUCCAAUGCAGAAUGCGUUUUCAUUUAAAGAGAGAAUAUUGUGAGAUUCGAAAAUGCCUAGAUGAAUAUAGGCGCCCGCGUCGUCACCAUGGUUGGUUUUUUUAGACUCGUCACGGUUAAGCUGCGUUUUGCAUUAGGGCGGAUUAUUCUUUCAACCAAAUUUUGAUUAUUUGUUCGUUUGGCCAACUAACUUUUUCUGUUUAUUUGUGUAUUUUUCACAUUAGGUUAUAAAAUAAGUUUAUCACAAUAUAGACCUGACGUGUGUGAUUGCUCCGUUGUCGGCCCACAUGUGAAGCUUCUAUGCCAUCUGUAACAUGAGAUUUGUGUCCACGCUGAUAGGAUGGGUGGAAAUUUCGUCCCAAGCGCCUGGUAGUAUAAUUAAGCAUCACACUAGAGGUGGGACUUGCAUGAUUGAUUUGGUCGCAAAUGUAGGAGAAGAUAUCCGGUGCUACUGGGGCAUAUAUAGGGUGCUUUCACACAGUGCCAUGCUCAAGAGCAAUCUGCACCAUCCAAUAUCAAUCCAAUAGACACGACAACUUUUUAAUUAGGACCAAAAGUUUUUUGAAAUCAACGCGCACUCUUCCUCAUUUGCAUGGGUGUGAUUUUUGGUCUUUCAAUGGAAAUUCAAAGAUAUAUCAAUGGGGUGACUCUAUGUUGAUGAAAAUAUGAAUGAGACGAGAUAUCAAUGAAAUCAAUAAAAUGCGGGAUGAUUUUUACAAAGCUCGAUGGUGUAAAUGAAUAAAUGACUAGAGAGAUAAGUGGAAUGCGGGUUCAUUUCCAAAAAACUUAAGGGGCUAAAUACAAAACUGCCAUAUGCUUGUACGAUCUAGAUUGUGCAGCGGCACGUCACUGUGUAGCAGCACGUAGCGCUAUAUAUCUUCUCGCAGAUGUAGGACGCGAAAUGCACCCAAUAUAUUAUCCAGCGAGCGGUCUAUCGACGAUAUGGUCAUUAUCAAAGUCGUCUUCCUAGAUUUUUCUUUUUGCCAACGUGGAUUAUGAGAAGAUAUGGUAGUCGGGCAACAUCUGCUAAUUAAUUUAUUCGUUAGUUGCCGGAAAAAUACUGGUGUGGAUGAGGAGCUGCAGCUGGCGACAACGUGCAUAUGCCUUUUACAUUUUCGACUAAGGUGUCUCACUGUCUCAUGUUCAACAGGGUGAAAAUCCUUUGUUUAUUAGCGUGUCGAUUUCUACGGUGUCUCACGUUCAACAGAGUGAAAAUACCCUUUUGUUUAUUAGCGUGUCGAUUUCUAAAAGUUAAUUAAUUCGUACGCUGUGGAUGUCAACAUGCAUGUGGAUGCAUGAAUCAAGUAAUCAUCUGCUCAAAAUCCGAGUUUAGCACAAACUUAUUCGUCCUUCCACUUCCUCCGUUCUUUUUUUUUCCGAAAAGGAGAUAGAAAAUCUCCGGCCACUGGAUAAAAAUUGAUGCACGCAACUAAUAAAAUUAUUGAUUUAUUUAAUAAAUCGAACAAGAUGAAUACAUCGAUCAGUCAACCCAAAACCAACAAGCUAUACCUAUAAUCCUGACCGCACACCACCGUCCAACAAUCAAAUCCGGAGAGUACACGAAGGCACAACCGGUCAAGCAAAUUCUCAGCAUGUGCCGUAUGCGCCCGCUCUAGUAUCUGCAGCCAUCGUCUUCCGGUAACUCAUCUUCAGGAAGGUGAUCAAAGCAUUGAACUUGUCAAACCUGGCAUCGACGAGGCAAGCCGGAACCACGGACGAGCAUGCGCCUAGCUGCUGCCCACCGACCAAGACCCCAACACAUGUAGUUCUAGUGUUCCCCCAACGGCGCCCCCAAGGGGGGAGCGACGCCAUUAGCACCACCACCGUCCAGUAUGAGGACUUUGAGUUUUCACCCGAGAAUCUAAAGCGGGGGUAGUGUGGAGUACCUCGACAAUGCCUCAAUGAAGGGACGAGACAUCCAAGGACGUCGGCUCCGUCGUGGUCAGACCAGCUAACUAAGGGUUUCCCCGAUACAAACCGGCAGCAACUAAUCCCGCUUGGCCGAUGAAGGAUGCGACUACCAGAUCUGUCAAAGAGGAAGAAAGCCCACCGGCUACCGCACCUACAAAGAAGCCAGCCGGGCCGCUGCUUAUGCCCGCCAACGCGAGGGACGCUGCUGCCAGCCGACGGGGGACGACACGCAGCCGGCCAGUGACCAAGGCAAGCCGUUUCAGGCCACCUCAGGCCGCCCCUAGCCGAGCCAGCCAAGCGGACGCCCUGCCCACGAGGGAAAGUGCCGCUGCCAGCCACCGGGACGACCCACAUCCAGGUGACCACUGCCGCCCACACGCAUCACGGGCCGAGGACCGCCGCCAGCCGCCGGAACGGCACGCCGCGACCAGGGAAACGCCGCCUCCAUGGAGAUCCAGGUCGCCUCGCCGAGCAACACUAAACACACUCGCUAGACAGGGCCCCACCGCUGCCAUCGCAGCGUAGGCUUUGCUCGGCGGCGAGGGAGGAGUUCGUGCCGAUCUAGGGUAGUUUGGAGGAGGGAGCAACAUUAUAGCUUCCUCCGUUCCUUAGGCCACUCCCAAUGCUAGUCUCUUAGCACGUCAUUUUAGGCAUUUUGCUGACAUGGCACCUUCUUAAUGAUGAAACUGUCUCUUAUGCUAGCGACCGUCUCUUCACACAAACCAACACAAAUUCAUUAAUUCUCUCUCACAAAGCUAUUAAAUAAUUGCUACUAUAAAUAUCACCUUAAAAGACAAUGCAUUGGGGAUAUGACUUCUUAUCUUUUAUUGUGGGCUAAGAGAAAGCAUCUAAGUGGGAGUGGCCUUAAUACCAUUCAUAUAGAUUGGUGCAAUUAAACCCAGACAACUCUUGUCUAAGUUACUCCAUCUGCCUCCUAAUUAAUUGGUGCCGCCUUUUUUAAAAAAAACCCUUGUAAAUUUCUAAAAUAAAUCUGCGGUCCAAUUUGCAGGAAUUUCUUUGAAAAAAACCCGGCACUAAUUAAUGAGGACGGAGGGAGCAGUACUUAAGUUGCAGUAUGCGUUAUCUUAGCUUAAGUACAUGUUUUUUUUUGUCGCACCUGCACAGGUCUCUCUCACGUCUGAUCAUGCCAGCUUGUUAGGAUGAACGUGGCAUUACUCGUCCACGUGAAGCACACUCGGGGAUACUCCAUAUGGGGAACGACCAGGACCAGUACUGUCUAUAUGGACCAUAUUGACAGGCAGGCUGGCCCAUCGAUGACGACGAUGCAUGCACGGUCCUGUACAAUUACGAUACGUACGAUAGGAUGGGACAUGUAAGGCGGACGUGCAGAUCGCCUGUGAUGGUUGGUCACAGCCAUAUAUAUAUGCUGCUAUCGAGAAUCGUGAUAUGCGUGUGCUAGCUGUGUCUCGUCUCGAUGGUUCACACAGACGCACGCACGUGCACCUUGCCGCCAGACCCGGCGAUUCGGCUGGAUUUGUAGUACGUGACGUGCUGCACGACGAUCAGUUCGGCCAAAUUGACCUAAAAACUUAUCAUGUACACCCAACCAAUACCGUAUGGAUAGAGCCGCUGCAUCUCGUUGCGUCCAACCAAUACGGAUGUCGGGCCUGUUUUGUUGGUGUCCCGAAAGAUAUUUGUCUGGCCGGAAACGGAAGCCUCCCUAACACUUGCCUGAGCUGUGUUUGGUUUCCGUCCUCGGGCAGCGUGGUUAGCCUGGCUCAGGCCCAGGAAUUUGGAGGCCUGAAGAAAGCCUUGGCUGUCUGGAAUGCUAAUCCCAUUUAAUUUAAGAAGCAAAUGGGCAGCAGCUUUGAAAGUUCCGUACGAUGUCAGAUUGUACCUUUUUUCUUCUAUUUAAUAUGUUUUAGCACACUAGUCACAAACCAAACAAGGGUUGCCUGAUCAGGCAAAAAAGCAAAGCAUCUCAAGCUCACCUGAGGCACUCGAUUUUGUCACGCAUGAUGCUCAGGGUAGCAACCAAACAGCCCGUCAUCCGGAAAGUUUCAAUGGAGAGGACUGGUAUCCCUAAUAAUAAAGGGAGUAAUGUUUUCGUCGUUGGUUUUGGUACGUCGCAGGUCGUUCCUCUUCUCUUUCUUCGCUCGAUUCACCCUCCCUCGAACCCCGAUCAAAAUAAAAUAAAAACAGUCGGAACUCCUUCCCCUGUCCCCUGCCCCAAUUCUCCCUUCCCAUCUACCUCUCCUCCCCGAUGGGCGAUCCUGCCGCUGCUCCCGGUUGUGCUCUAGGGCGGAGCCCUCUUCUAGCCGGCGGCGGCGCAGGAACUGAAGGCGCUGGCGUUGGGCCUCGACGUAAGCCGCAUCACCUCCGGUGACGUCCUCGCCGACGCGUUCCACGACCUCCGGCAAGCCCUCUCCCUCCCGGUGCUCCCCGCCCACGCCGUCGAGGGCUUAGCACUCUUCUUUGACGACCGCCUAUCGCGGAUCCACGCGCGGGACUGGUUCUCCGACGUGCUCCCCCGCCUCGCCCGUCUCCUCUUCCCCCUCCCCGCUCUGCUCAAGGACCCAUACACCAGCGCCAGAGGUGGUGGAGACCGGGCGCUCGGGCUCCGCCUCCUGGGACCGCAGGACAUGGGACUCGUGCUCCUUGGGCAAGAGCUCGCUGCCACGCUGCUCGCCUGCACGCUUUUCAAUCUGGUUUCCCACGGCCGGUCAGAGCCAGGCGCCUCCGGUGGCGCCCACGAGCCCAUUACUAUGCUGAAUCGGGCCGGCGAGGCCCCCAAUCGCGCCCCCGAUGUCGCUGCCAUCGGCUCCCUCCGCCAUCGAUUUUGGCCGGUGCGGCCGUCUACGAGCUCCGGUGUGGCGCCCACAGCUCCGCUUUCGACCACCUGGUGGCCAUCGCGUGUGGCGGGCACAGAAGGUGACGGGCGUGGGGAGAAGAAGGCAUGAGACCACAGAAGGAGGAAGAAGAAGGCGAUUUGUGCUGGCAGGUUUUAUUGUUUGGCUAUAGCUCUUGCGCUUGUUUUAAUCUUCUCGGUUGUUCACCAUACUGCAUAUAUUCUGGUAGGUUCGCGGUACAUCAUACCAAGGCUUGAGUUGUUCAAAUAAAUUGAUGUAGACCGAUCUAAUGAAGUAUGAAGUGCUAUAUUUGGUGUAGGUUAUCAGUGAAAAGCAGUGGCUAUUGCCUUAAAAAUCUCAUUUACUGGAGUAAACUAAGCUUGUAUCAUUUCAUGGGUUAGAAAUCCAACGAGUGUAACUCUCAUGUCAUGUUUCAAGAAAAACUAAUUUAAGAACUGAUGAUUUAAUUCUUUUGCUGAUCUAUUAUCUUCUGGAGAUAUGAUAACCAAACGUUGAGUUCUUUUUAGAGUUCUUUUUAUAUGCUUUCGUAGUGUUCUUCCUCGGUGCUGGACCAUAACCCAUAGGAAGAAUAUGGGUUACAUUUUGUUUCUUUCUACAAUCUUUAUCUGAGUUGAAACAUUUGGCUAACAGUUUCAUUUAUUUGGAUGGAUGGAUGGAUGAAUGAAGAUUGCACUAAUGCAUGCGUGUCGUCAUGGACACUGGGAGGUAGUUCAGAUUGAUGCAAUGUAUGUCAUUUGUAGUACAGUGUUUCACGUGUGUUCUAUUUCUCCCCUGAGAUAAGGAAGGUGACAGGCUGACUACUCUUUGUGUUUGGGGUUGUUUUGAGUGAUUAGCAAAUUAAUCUACAGAAGUGACAUCUGGAUGGCCUCUCCUAAGUAAGAAAUUUUUAGUGCACUGAAAAGCUACUCCGUAUGUUGUUUGACAAACCCAAAAUGUGUUGGCAGGGGAGCUUUCUAAGCAGGUAUUUAAUAUUUUCUCCACUUAAUUUACCAACAAGGCAGUGCAAUUCGUAUAAUACAUGAUCGGGUUGCCCCUUCCACCUACUUUGGAGAUCUAAUAAUUAGGCAAAUUGUUUUGAAGAAACUGUCGGUUUUGUUUUUUGUACAUAUUAUAGUUACCGAUCAAACCGGUUGUUCGAUGAUCUAGGCAUUGGAAACAUCUUGACUUUACUUUAUACUUCGAAAUGCAAUCAUUAGGGCAUAAUAAUAACUAGCAAGAAGUUUUCAUGAUCACUUUGUUUAUGUAGGGCGUCUAUGUUUAAGAGACCGUGGCAACGCACGGACACUGGACUAGUCAUUUCUAAAGCAAAUUAAGUGUAGAUAUAAUACACAAGAAUUACAAUAAAACCCGUGGGAUCGAAUUGGGCUUCUGUGGAGAACCCGCCAUCUCUUCUUUUCAAAAAGAAUGAUAAUCCCGGACUCUGCAUCAACUGAUGCACAUAGCCGUAUAUUAUUAAAACCAGACAAAGUUAGGCAGCAAAGCCGAACAAAGUCGACAAAAGGAAGUGAAAGAGAGAGAAUAUUGUGAGGUUCGGAAUGACUAGAUGAAUAUAUGCGCCAUGCCACCAUCACGAGUGGUUUUCUUUAGACUCAUCACAGUUAGGUUGUGUUUUUGGCACAUUAAGGUGGAUUAUGAUAAUCCAGCUUUUCUAACCAAAGUUUGGCUAUUUUUCUGUGUGGUUAACUAAUUUUUUCCUCUUUGUGUGUAUUUUGUCACAUCAUAUUUGAUUAUGAUCUAGCCAAAGUUAAGCAGGGUAUAGUUCUACGCGCGUGAUUGCUCCAUUAUCUGCCCACAUGUGAAUCUGUCAUGCCAUCCGUAACCUGGGAUUUGUGUCCACGCUGAUAGGAUGUAUAUAUGGAAAUUUCAUCCCAAGCGCCAGCUAGUAUAAUUAAGCAUCGCGUUACAGGUGGGGUCUUGGACUUGCAGGAUUUAAUUGGUCGCACAUGUUGGAGAAGAUAUCUAGUUCUACCGACCAUAGGGUGCUCCCACACAUAGCCAUGCUCAAUAGAAGUGACUAAAGAAUCUGACCAUUUUUAAUUAGGUCCUUUUGUUUUUUAAAAUUGAUGUGCUCACUCUACCUCUUUUUUCAGGAUGUGAUUUUUUUAAUUAUGUUUCAAUGAAAUUUUUAUAUCAUUAAACUAAAUAUAAUUAAAAAAUUAAAAAAUUAUGUCAUUAAAAAAAAUUCGAUAACAAAUCGAAUGAUGUACUUUUUUGUUAAGAAACAUUCAUAUUUAAUUAAUCAAAUUAAAAACUAGAUAUGUGUACGUGUCUCGUAUUAUGAGACGGAGGGAGCACAUGCUCCACCAGUUAAUAUUGUGUCGACGCACCUGCGCAUCUCUCUCUCAAGUCUCAUGUCAGCUUGUUAUGAUGAACCUGGCAUUACUCGUCCACGUGAAGCACACUCUCGGAGAUACUGAUCGAUAUGGCCAUAUGGGGAACCAUGACCAGGUGUAUAUAUGGACCAUAUUGAUUGGAUAGAUCUUGCAGGCAGGCUGGCCCAUCGAUGGUGCAUGCAUGGUCCUGUACAAUUACGAUAGGAUAGUAUCGAUAGGACAUGUAAGGCGGACGUGCGGAUCGCCUUUGAUGGCUGGUAACAGCCAUAUAUGUUGAUAUCGUGAUAUGCGUGUGCUGUGUCUCGUCUUGAUGGUUCACACUGACGCACACACACGUGCACCUUGCCGCCAGACCCGGCGCUUCGGCUAAAUUUGUAGUACGUGCCGUGCUGCACGAUCACUUCGGCAAAACUUAAUUAUCAUGUACGGAGUACCCAUCAGCCAAUACCGUAUGGAUAGAGCCGCGCGAUCUUGUUGUGUCCAACCAAUACGGAUACAGUCCCCCGAAGAAACAAGAUCUAGAUAGAGCCGCUCUUGUUGCAUCCAACAAAUUCGGUCCGGAAAAUAAACUUGAUAGAGCCACUCUAGAUUGUCAUACUGUAUGCAAUUAUGCACACGUGAUCACCGGCCGGAUAAUUAAGCCAGAGCGCAUAGAGAGCUAGCUAAGAAUCGAGUCUCCGUCUUUGGCUCUGUAUAAUAUUACGUAAUUUCUGUACUAUAAAACGCAAGGUAUCUAGCUAGAGCACCAGCCAUCUCGAGAUUUCAGUUUGUUACAAUACAUAAAAAAUUAUGCGGAACGGUAAACAAAUUAAAAUGAGGUGUGCCCCCCUCCCCCGCGUACGUUGCUCUUCCUGGACUUCCUUGGGCCACUCGGCUAGCUGCCAGGUGUCACUAAACCCUGCCCCUCGCCACUUUAUUCCUUGCCGCUGCUACAGUAGUGUCGGAACCACAUGUAGUACCCGGUAGGUGCAUGUGUAUCAGGGUACAAAAUAAUCUCGUCGACCAUUAGAUUAAAAAUCAACCUAUGCAUGUAAAAUGCACCUUGAUAAUUACAUAAACACUACAUCCAGAAUGGGUUACUGGCGCACGAGCUCCAGUGGCGGUACAGCUGGUCCAAAAAAUUCACCGUCACUGGACGUCGUUGGAGGAAUUCAAAACGAAUACCAGUGGUGGUGAUCAACCACCGCCACUGCUAGUAGAACACCGGUGGCGGUGAAAGCACUCGCACGACCAGCACCGCCACCGGUGCUCUACCACCCGUGGCGGUGGUCAUUCACCGCCACUGGAGCUCUUUUGUUGUCACCGGCGCACGAUCUACAAUGGCGGUUAAAGUGGUCGAAAAAACAAACCGCCACUGGUAACUCGUUGGAAGAAUCUGAAACGAGUACUAGUGACGGUUAGCUUCCACCGCCGCUAUUAGUGGAGCACUAGUGGCGGUGCCAGCACUCAUGCGGCUUUCACCGCCACUAGUGCUCCUAGUACCAGUGGCCGCAUCAGUUAACCGCCACACGUGCUCCUCAGAGAUUCCCAUCCCGGUUAGCAGUUGCGGGCAGAUUUUUUGAACCGCCAGUGGUAAGUUAUCUAUCUAUAAAGCAAAGUCACUGUGGCCUUAUCUUCCUCAGCUUGCGCGUCUCUGGACCAGCUGCGGCUCCUCAAUACACAGGCAACGACGAAGCUCUGCCAAAAUUUCAUGGCACCGGCAGCCGGAAGGUUGCUCCCUUUCCCUCUCCUUCUUCCUCCUCUCCCUCUCCUUUCCUCUAGCUCCUUCCUCUCUUCUCUUCUUCCUCGAUGUUGUUGAAAUGGCGCCGGCGGUCGGGAGAGCUCGAUCUCUCUCCAGGAGCUGUCCCGGCCGGCCCCCUUGCUUGGGAGGUCCCCCACUCUUCCCCUAGCUCUGUUUCUCCCUCUCUUUCUGGUUCUGGUUGCUGCACGCGCACCCCCUCCCCUCUGUCUCUCUGGUCCCCUCUCUCUCUCUGCUCCUGACGUGGUUAUGACUAAUCACGUACUCAACUCGAAGAUACCCAUCAUGGCCCACUACGGGGUCCAUGAGAAGGACGACUGCAACUCCUGGAGUCAACAUGCCAAUCUCGACGACUCGAGAUAAGGAAGCUUUAAACUUAGCAUAUCUUACCAUUGUAAUGGGCUUGGACUCUCCCUGAGACGUAGACUCCUCCAUAUAUAAAGGACUAGGAGGGGAGAGCCAACACAGAUCGAACACCACGCGCUUACACCGCAUACAACCAUCCUCGCCAGAUCAACUCUGCGCACCCUAGCCUCCACGGCUCCAUUGUAAUCUCAUCGUCAAUAUCAAGCUCAGACAAGCAGGACGUAGGGGUAUUACCUUCCGAGGACACUGAACCUGGGUAAAUCGUGUCCCUUGUGUCCUUGUUAGCUGACGGAGUCGCCAAUACGCACGCUACAUGUCUUCUCCCUGAUCUAAAGCUCAUCAAGAUGGGCAUUGUCGAAGGUAACCCCUCGUCAUUGGCGCUGACCGUGGGGAAGACGUGUGUCGGAUCUACGACUCCAGCGGCCUCAUCUUCAUCGGGCGGGUCAUCGACUCAGGCGGAGUCGAUGACUCUCGGCUCCUUCCACGUCACCGCUCAUUCACCGGCCAGACGCGCGGCCUUCGACUCGCUGCAGUCUGGCGUUGAUCUCACGUUUGGAGACUACCGUAUACGGGCCGACGAGACCGGAAUCCUGCAAUUCCCAGAUCUCAUUACGCCCCCACGCGAGGAGCCUCGGCCCUUCGCUGCGGUCAGAUCGCUCUCGACAUCCGACAUCUCACACCCCAGUAGCGUCAUGAGAUGAGGUCGGACCCCGAUCUGUUCUCUACCGGUUCGGAACAAUCUUUUCCAGCAGAAAGCCCCGUCCCUAGCGACGCUAGCGACUGCUCUGAUCAAGAAAGUUGCCACGAUGGCAACGACUUGGAGGCCCAGAGCAACAUUGCUCAGGUCUUCAUGACGACUGCCGCUGAUCCUCAGACAGCACAGAACAACUGCACUCCAGAGGAGACGGCUCGCGUCCGGGAAGCCAUCAACUCUGGAGUGGCCAUAACCAACCCUACCACCACAGAGUUGCAACUCUUCAACAGUUGUCUCCUCCAGGCCCGUGGGGAUCUGGUCAAAGAAAGACAGGACCUCGACCUGGCGAGGAGGCAGCACGAAGAACUUGCAUGACGAACGACUCGAGAGGACUCUCUGUGAUUAAUUAAGCUCUCUCUCAAUAAAAUAUGUGUCGAAUGUGCAUGUUCCGCGGCCAUCAUGCCGUGUUUGUGAAUAUUUUUGUUUGUACAUGUAUACGGACCAUCGUGCCGUGUGUGUUCACAUGUGGGUGUGGGUGGGUGUUUAUUUGGCAAAAUUUUUGUAAAAUUUGUAAAUUUUAUAGCAAAGGUCAUGCUGAAAUUUUGUGUGAUACUAUAUGUAACUUGAUUUAUGUUUGUUUAUCGUGUUUUAGCUCGAUGAGCCGUGCUUGGAUGUACAAGGAGACAAGAAAUUGAGAAGAUUGGAUAAGAAAACUGAAGGACUUCACUGAUGUCGCCACGGAACAUAUGCUGAGAAAAGGGGACGACAUGACAUGUUGUCCAUGUAGCAAUUGUCGUAACACAAUGAUGCUUCUGCCAAGCGAUGUGGAGUUGCACUUGCUCCUACACAGUUUUGUGUUGGGUUAUUCACGUUGGACUUGUCACGGCGAGGAUGCCAUUGAAGUUGAAAGCAACCCAGAAAUGGAGAACAUGGAGCAUGAUGAUCCACCCGACGAACCAUGCCAUGACGAAGAUCAAGAAGUUCCGCAAGGCAGGGUGGCCGAAAUGCUAGAUGAUGUGCACUUGCGGAAACAGUUAGAUGACGCUGACGAUGAGAUAGUGUCCCGUAAAUUCCAGAAGCUGAGGGAGGACGCAGAGACGCCGUUGUAUGAAAAUGCAGGGCUGGACAAAAGUGUGCUGGAAGUAACGCUCGAACUUCUUCGAAUGAAGAGAAAAUAUAACAUCGUGGACUCGGGAUUCACAGAUAUUUGAGUAACCUUUCUACAGUUCUUCCUGCGGGCAACAUGUUACCUAAGAGCACGUACGAAGCGAAGAAGGUUGCAUGUCCCCUCGGGUUAGAGUGUCAGAUACCAUGCCUGUCCGUUGGACUGCAUCAUAUAGAAGGGUGACUAAAAAGACAUGCACAGCUGUCCAGUAUGCAAAACAUCCCGAUACAGGAAAAAAGACCCCAAUCCUGAGGGCCUCCCGGAGGAAGAAGUGACUCGUGGUCCAACGGCGAAGACGGUAUGGUACCUCCCGUGUGGUAGCCGGCUGGAGCGUUGGUUUCAAAACGAGAAGGAGGCCAGGUGGUUCAUCUUUCAUGACCCGACUCAGAAGGAUAUCGAUCCUGAUGGGGUGUACCGUAACGACGAUGGUGUACUUAGACACCCCGCCGAUGCGCCUCAAUGGAGAACCCUGUACGAGGAGUUUCCAGACUUCGGCGCAGAGCCUAGGAACAGCAGGUUCGGGAUGAGUACGGACGGAAUCAAUCCGUUUGGAAACAUGAGCAGCAAACACAGCACAUGGCCGGUGAUCCUGUUCAUAUACAACUUUCCUCCGUGGCUUAUCAUGAAGAGGAAGUACAUCCACCUAUCCAUGCUCAUACGAGGCCCUAAGCAGCCGGGAGCUGAUCUGAACGUGUAUCUGGAGCUACCGAAAGAUGAACUUGCGGAACUUUGGAGUACGGGCCGAAAGGUUUGGGACGCUUACAAGAAGGAGGAGUUCACCCUUCGGGCAGCUCUGCUGACAUGUGUGCAUGACUACCCUGCGAACGGGAACUCAUCUUGCCAAAGCACACAUGGGUACAAAGCGUGUACAAAGUGCGGGGAUGAAACAAACUCACAGAGGCUACCAGUUUCACAGAAGAUUGUGUACAUGGGACACCGAAAGUGGUUUCAACCCGAUGACCCAUGGAGGAAGGACAAGAAAAACUUCAAUGGGAGGUCAGAGCCUCUCCCGAAGCCCAGGGAAAAGACUGGGCACGAAAUCUAUGAAAUUGUUAGGAACUUGGAAGUUGUUGCCAGGAAAGCAAAUCCGCAAGCGAAAGAGAAGGAUGGCGAUGAACCUGUGUGGAAAAGGAGGUCGGUGUUUUGGGACCUUCCUUGCUGGAAAUUCUUACAAAGCCGUCACACCAUAUAUGUCAAGCACGUCGAGAAGAACGUAUGCGACAGCUUGUUGGCUUGCUAAUGAACAAUGCAGAUAAGACAAAAGAUGGGCCAAAGGCACGGAAGGACCUAGAGUUCUUCAACCAGAAGUGCUUAGACAACAACAUGUUAAGACUCUCGUGUGUAUACUUCACAAGGGAGUCCUUCCGCCUGAAAGAACCACACGUUGCCAUCGCCGAUCCUCUCCUGUUCAGUAAAGCAACCAUCGGUCUAGAAGAAUGGAAACGGGGUUUGAGAGAGAAGGCAAUUUCAUACCUAGCUAAGUUCUUCGCAAUGCACAAGCAACGCCGUUAUGUUCUUACACUCUACCAUUUAGAGUAAGUUGUUCUCACGACCAUUGCUUUCUUUCUCGUUCCACUAAGUUGUUCUCUUUUCGGUUAUAAAUGUGUGUUCUUUUUGUAAAUAGCGAACAUUCGGUGGUGGUGGCCUUCUCUUUCAAAGAAGCGUUGGCGACGUAUCUUGAUCCACUCCGACAGAAGAAAGGCCAUGAGCCGCGCGACUUCAAAGCCGUCGGAACACUCUUCGAAGAGGCGUGGAAAAAGGCGGUGACUGACUAUGAGUUGCCAAGCUACGGCAGGAAGAAAAUAACCUAUCACAGGAACUUCGCAUGCAUACAACAGCCGCAAGGUACGGUCUUCUGUGGAUACUACUACGCGUACAUCAUCCGCAAUUGGGUCACCAAUUUCAAGCCCAAGAUGAAGACGACCUACCAGCAGAUGGUGGAUUACUUUAAGACGGAAUCAGAAUAUGGAAACAAAGUCCCAGCUGUUCUUGUGUUCGAUAUUCAGAGGGUGAUAGCCACCAUUCUCAACAAAGAGGUCCUGAAGGAAAACGGUGAUUUUUAUGAAGGCGGGGUUGUGCCGAUGUAUUGAAACUUUGAUGUACAAUGUUAAAUAUUGAAUAUCUGUGUUUUUGUAAUAAGUUUUGUGAACGGAUGCUGUUAUCUAUCAUGGAUGCGUGAUUUUCUCAUAUAUAUUGUUGUUAUCUAUCAUGCUGUUAUCUAUUGUUGUGCUGUGAUAUAUUGCUGUUACAGGAAUUUUCUAAUAUAAAAAAAUAUUUUUUAAAAACCGAAAAAGAACAGUGGCAAUUCCUGUUCACCGCCACUGGUAGAGUACAGUGGCGGUUGCGUCCCACCGCCACUGGUGCAGUACCAGUGGCGGUGACAGAGAACCGCCACUGGUGCUACGAAAGCAUACCAGUGGCGGUGAGUACGCACCGCCACCGGUAUGUAACAGUGGCUGUCCUUCCCACGGCCACCGGUGCACUUUCUGAAGCUCCCUACGGAUUACCAGCGGCGGUUGUGCAAACCGCCCCUGGUGCUGGCUAGCACCGGUGGCGGGUAUCAUCACCGCCACCGGUGCUCGUUAGCACCCGUGGCGCAGGCUUAGUGGCGGUCCAGGUUACCGCCACCGAUGUGUAAUCCGGACCGCUGCUGCUAACCUUUUCCGGAGCAGUGAAACUGUGUUUUAUUUUCUUUAACAAACCAGCAAUUUGACAAAAAAUACACCAUUAGUGCGUGACUUAUGUAAUACAGUAAUUAACUACUACGAUAAGUAAGUAUUUUUUUCAAUACAAAUAUAAUAUGCUCUAUAUUUUAAACCAGAUAUAUAGAGCUACAAUCAACGAAUAAGAUUCAGAUUACAAGCCAAAAGCGACCAUCCCACACAUCACAAAGCCGGUAAAUAGGCCGUCUCCCAAACCAGUUCAACAAGUCUUGACUGUCUCCAAUCGAUUGCAACCAAGGUACCCCGGUCUCCCCUCUGAUUUGUAAUAGCACGGCCAGAUGCAGAUCCAAUGAAAUCUCUUAAUUUAUCAAAAAGUGAUUACUUAGAUGAGAGAGAAUGUAUCAACAAUGAUUACUUAGGUGAUGUGAUGAUGGUAUUGGCAGAUCCAACGACAAGUCUGUGCAUUCCUGUGGCAAAACAUGAUCUUUGAUCAGGCAAUGUCGAAGUGCGCUUACGUCGUGUCCUUGUUUAAGGUGGUGGCUCGAAGCUCGUCUUUGGAGAUGAAAAUCCCGAGUUCGACUUACGAUCGGACUCGUCAUCAUCCGCGCUCGUGCGAUGUUCCUUCAUGAGAUUUGCCUAGGAGUGGUGUUCUGGUCUCUUCCAUAGGGUUAGUGGUAGUCUGGUGAAGUCCUUGUCAGGAGGUAUUUGGUUUCUUGUUUUCUUUUUUCUUUCUUGUGUCGAUUUAUUCAGCAUCGACACCCGGCUUUGUCUGGGUUUAAUAAUAUAUGGUUGUGUGCAUCAACCGAUGCAGAGGCUGGGCGUUACAUCCUCCUUUUCGAAAAAAACAACCCUCCAACAAGUUAUUUCUAAGACUUGUUACUAAACUUUUAAAUAAAAUUGUUGUGAUUGAUUGAAACCCACAUGAUGAGGUCUUUAGUAGCAAUGGUAUGUCCAAUUGACUAAUGGGUUCUUUCUAACAUCUUGGUACAAAAGUCAAGUGGUUUCUCCAUUCCUAGAGUAACUAUUUUUUUCUCUUAUUUUCCUCUCAUUCACAUCAUCAAAAUGCAGUUGUCACAUUUUUUAGUAAUGGAGAUGUUGACUAUUGGAGAUGCUCUAAGAUGUUGUAUUGAUUUAGGUUUUACCUACACCAUGGAUGGCCUUAUGUACAAUUUUUUUCCUCAUUUGCCUGCCAGAGAUGCUGUUGUGGACCGCCGAUUGGUUGGAGCGCCAAGGUCUUGAUGAUCACCUGAAUAGUUGUCCUUUCUGUGACUAGGCGCUAUAGACAAUUGUUCACCUGCUCCUCGGCUGUGUGUUGGAGAGAGAGUCUGGUCGAGGGUUCCAAGAGGCUGGGACGAUAGGGAGGUUUGGAUGCCCAAUCCAGAAGCGAAGAUUGCAAAUUAGUGGGAUGCAUGCGAUCAAUGCCGAACGAACAAUGGGUUUGUUGAGAGAGUAGCUUUUUCUUUUGUGGCCACUUGGCCGCCUCCCCUGUAUGCGUUUGUGGACUCGUGGAUUGGCUUCGACCUCCUCUUCUUAAUACAAAUGGCACACAUUCGUGUGUGGUUCCUAAAAAAAUGCCAGAAGAACGCAUCACAAGGAGAUUGCUACUGUCAUUGCCUUGGUCUUUUGGCAGAUGUGGAAAUACCAGAAUAAGAUUGUCUUUGAUGGCUUUGCCUAGAUUCGGUCAUCUGUUAACCGAAAUCUGCAGUGCGUGAGGGGGAGGUCCGGAGGCAAGCUAAUUUGGUGAAAGAUUCGGUUUUCACUAGGUUACCUUGUGGAAGGGUGAAGUGGGAGAGACAACAUCUAGAGAGUUGUUCUUAUUCUGGUCCGUUUGGGUUUGUAACUGCAUCGCCAUAUUUCUACUUUAAUGAAUGAUACACCCGCUUCGGUGUCACAUUUGUAAUCCGAUACUUUAAUCCAACAGUGGGAGUGUACAGACGGAAUUUGAGUUUGUUUACACAUAAAAUUUCCUCUUUAGCUGUCGGUUGCCGAACCCGAACGAAUUCUCCUCUAAGAAGAGAUUCCUCCUCCCCCGAUCCCCUCCCCUGCGUGAGGCCCGAACCCCCUCCCCAUCUUCCUCUCCUCCCCGACGCCUAUGUCUCCCGUGCAUCGCCCCUCUCCCCCAGCAAGCCGUGUGUCGCCUCCCCCUCUCGUGCCGCCCCCUCCUUGUGCGCUGCCUUGACGUCGCCCCGCUCCCCCCGCUGACCCGGGCCGGAUCUGGCCGGGCCGCCGCCUCCCCCUGCUGACCCAGGCUGGAUUCGGUCGGGCCCUCCACCCGAGCCGAAGGCGGCCUCCCCCAGAGGCAAGUUUUUAUUUUUUCUGGAAAAUUAAAAGUGCAAAAUAAAAAGAUAAAUAUGAAAAUUAAAAAUAAACAUUGAAAAAAGUAAAUUUUAAAAAGUCAAGAAACAAAAAAUAAAAAGUUGCCAAAAAUGGCAAAGAAAACAACAGCCACAAAAUGGGCUGUCAGAAUUCGUCCGCGGGAUUUGUUCCAGUGGUCCUGCCAAUUAGGUGCUCCUGGGGUUCGGUAGGCAAUCCUAAUAUCUUCGCCACUUGGGCCAAUCAUGCGCGACUUGAUUUGCUUCCCUCCUAGCAUUAUACAUGCUCUUAAAGCAUUCUCUGGGUGUUACGUACUAAGAAAUGAACAAAAUUUUGACCUUCCUAAUCGGACAAUAGAAUGGAGGGAACAAAUUCAGGGAAAUUUUGAGCCUUCUAAUUCAUUAUACAUGCUCUUAGGGAACUCUUGUAAGAAUUCUUUUUUCUUCUGAUAUUACUCUGAAGAGAAAAUUCCCUACAUGACACUUUUAAGAGAGCCAAAUUCCUUCUAGAUAUGAGAACUCGUAUCUUUUUUGUUCGACGACGGACGAUGGUUUUAUUAUAGUUUGAUCCGAGGCAGUCGUAGGUUGAUUUUCGAUUAAAGAAAGUUUGUUGAUCUUGAACAAAUCCAAAUCUUUUUCAAUAGUAAUAAUUACAAUCCAUCGUAAUAAGUGUCUCAGAUUUAGUACUCCAUCCGUCCCAAAAUAAGUGACGUGUAUUUGUAUAAAAAUCUAUAUAAAUUCACAUCAUUUAUUUUGGGACAGAGGUAGUACAACUUUAUACUAAGUUAGUACAAAAUCUGAUACUUAUUAUGGAUCGAAGGAAUAUUAGUUUGCAAGUGAGAGGUGCAGAUAAAUUAAAUUCGCAAGAAUUUAGUACUCCCUUGGACUCAUAUUACUUGUCUCAAAUUUGUCUAAAUAUAGAUGUAUCUAUGUUUAAAAGCGUCUAGAUAUAUAUAAUAUUUUCAGUAAUAUGGAUCGGAGGGGGUACUGUUCCUGGCGCGCGCGCUAUGUUCCACGGGCGUUAUGUUCUGCUACGCCUAUAUAUAACAGAGGAGGGACGAGCUAGCUAUUCUCAAAUCAACUUGUUGUCAUCGGGGUCCGAUCGAAAGGAAAGUAGCAAAGACACGAGAAGAACAUUAAUCAGUAACCGGCAGCUUAAUCCCUUUCUCGCAACCAUGUCCUUCAACGACGACGAGCCGAUCGUUGCCCCUCCAAAUUCAGGUUCAUUAAUUCAUAUUAACGCAACCCAAUCUUGCAAUUUGCAUCCUGCUUAAUUGGCCUAGCUAGGAGUACUUUUACUCAUGAUCGAGAUCUUGCAUGUGUUGCAAUGGAUUGGAUGCCAUUGCAGGUCCUCGGCCGACGCCGAUCGUGGCCGGGAGAGUGCAGCUGGUGAGCAAGAACAACAGGGAGGCGCCGCUGGAGGAGAACACCCAGAAGGUGAUGCUGGAGCUGACCGGCGGCGACUCCACCGCCGACCGGUCCGGGCUGGACCUGGUGGCCGUCCUGGACGUGAGCGGCAGCAUGCAGGGCGAGAAGAUCGACAAGAUGAAGACCGCGAUGCAGUUCGUGGUGAAGAAGCUGAGCACCAUCGACCGCCUCUCCAUCGUCACCUUCUCCGACGCCGCCUCCAGGCUCUGCCCACUGCGCCAGAUCACCGACGCGUCCAAGGCGGACCUCCAGGGGAUCGUCGACGGGCUCAAGCCUGGCGGCAACACCAACAUCACCGACGGCCUCGUCACGGGGCUCAAGGUCCUGGCCGACCGCAAGCUCAGCAGCGGCCGCGUGGUGGGCGUCAUGCUCAUGUCCGACGGCCAGCAGAACCGAGGCGGCGACGCGGCCAAGGUGGCCAUCUCCGGCAACGUGCCCGUGUAUACCUUCGGCUUUGGCUCCGACUACGACCCGACGGUGCUCAACGCGGUGGCCAAGAACAGCAUGGGGGGAACGUUCUCCGUGGUGGACGACGUCGGCGCGCUAAGCAUGGCCUUCUCGCAGUGCCUGGCCGGGCUGCUGACCGUGGUGGUGCAGGACCUCAAGCUGACGGUGACCCGCGUGGAGGACGAGUCGGAGAUCCAGAAAGUGACCGCCGGGAACUACCCACAGGAGGAGGACGCCGGGUCCGUGACAGUCAGCUUCGGCGACCUCUACAGCAAGGAGGUGCGCAAGGUGAUCGUGGACCUGCUCCUCCCAGCCAUCGAAAGCGACCGCGGCGCCGACAUCCUCGAGGUCACAUACUCUUACAAGACCAACGGGAAGCUCUUCGACGCGCCGCCCGCCACGGUGACCGUGAGCCGCACGGGCGCGGUCCCGGGUGAUUCGCCGGCGGACGACCCGCCGGUGGUGCAGACGGAGGUGGCCCGGCUGAAGACUGUGACGAUGAUCACAGAGGCGCGCGCCAUGGCGGACGGGCAGAAGCUGGGCGACGCGAGGGACAAGCUGGUGGAGGCGCAGAACGGGCUGGAGGACGUGCUGGAGCAGUCGAACCCUGUGGUGGAGAUGCUCAGGACGGAGCUGCAGCAGCUGCUCAAGCUCUUCAGGACGCAGGAGGUGUACAACAAGCAGGGGCGGCCCUACGCCAUGUCGUCCGAGACCUCGCACGCGCGGCAGAGGUUCGCGGCCAGGGGGGACAUCGAGAGCAUGAGGAUGUUCGCCACGCCGCGCAUGGACAAGUACCUGGAGCAGGCCAAGAAGUUCGACGAGGACCCCGAGACGCCGCUGCCGUCCGCGGACGACGACGUCAAGGAGGAGAUCGCCGCCAACCCGCUCGCACCCAUCGCAGGGCCCAUCGCCUUUUACAUCCAGGCCGCCAUCCAGGCGCUGCAGGCCAUCGAGAAGAUCAUCACCAACGGAACCAAGCCCAACUGAUCGAUCACAUGUUACAUCUCAUCGGAUACCGUCGAGUCUCGCACGCACUUCCAGUGUACACGUUUCAUCGCUGGCUUGAGUAAAAUGCACGGUUAGUCACUUAACUGGGGUUGUGCGUGCAGUUUAGUCAUCUUAAUCCUAAAACGCUGGUCUCAGUCAUCGGACUAAAAAAUAAGUACGAGACUAAAUUGUACGGACAACUAUAGUUUAAUACCAACCGUGCAUUCUACUCUUUAUUCUUACUCCUUGAUGAUUUUGUGGUGGAAUAAGCUUUGUUUUCUUUUACCAGGAAUAAGCUAUGUUGUUUAAAUAAAGAAUGAGAAUUUCCUGAUUUGCGCUCGGGUGACUCAGUUUUUGGACCGUCGUAUCACGUAUGGGUCUGCCGAGAUGUCCAGCGUCUGGCUUCGGCAGGUUAAAAUAUGUGCCGAAAUUGAUCAUAAAGAGUUCAUACACAGAAACAGCAUAAUUGUCAGUACAUGACUUGAACCUGAAUGCUGUCAUGCAUUCACAACUCCACCGUAAUACUGAGAGAUGCUUCUUAACAAUUAACAAAUCUAACAAACCUAACAGCCGAGUGGCCCAAAAAAGUCCAAGAACAGCAACGUGGGUCAUGAUUCAGCAAAGCUAGCUAAUCCGUUGUGCGUAUGAAUCACACAUCUCGACCCCCGCGUCGUCGGCUCGGGGGAACCCUAGAUCCGUGGUGAUCCGGGUCGUGGGGAGUGGCGACGACCUGAGCGGCCACGUGAACCACCCGGUGUUCAGCCUGGACGGCAGGAGCAUCACCAUGACGUCCGACCUGGCCGCCGUGUCGGCCGACCCAAUCUCGCUGCCGUUGUUCCUGCACUCGGUAAGGCCCUACGGCGACAUCUUCGCCGUCGACAUUGACGACAUCCUCCAGCUUGGGGACGACGCGGAGAAGCUCAAGAAGAUCAAGGACCUGAGGAGGAAGUUUCACCGGAUCACGCACAGCCGCUACGAGUACUCCACGCCGGAGUGGACCAUGUUCGCCACGGACGACCCCAACGCGCAGUGGAACGUGCUCAUCAAGAAGGACGCCGCGUACACGCCGGCCUGCCCCUACGCGUACCCGGACGGCGGCGAGAGCUGGCACAUGACCGGAC